rnacentral:lncRNA from 1 species
CUCGUAUGAUUACAUAUCGAGACACAUUGCUAUAUUGAAAGAGAUAGAUACAGCACCAACAACAAUGUCUCACUUCUGUUACAAACAAUGACCAAGAUGAUGGCCUUACCAAAGGAGUUGAUCCGAGCUACAUUAUUACCAAAUUAUUAUGUAAGCUAAGGAGGUAACUUGCAUACCUAAGACAUGCCACGGCUACCGCGCGUCACAAAGUGAUGGGCAUGUAAACUAGCAAGCCGAUCAUGUAAUCCGAGUACAGCAAAGAGAUGCCAACAAGUGUCAGCAAGAGGUUAACUAAUUUUUUAAAACUGAAUCUAACUUCAAUUCAUAUGAGAAUUUUCUACUACCUAAUAAUUGAUGUACAUUUCCUUUUAUAAGUUUUAUGAUUGAAGAGGAAGCUGUUGCUCUACAUGCAAAUGAAACACAACGAUCGAAUCACAAGGAUCGGACCAAGAAGCUGCCAAGGACAACAUUGCAAGUUCGGACCCCUCGGCUAACAGUUCGGGCUACCAUACGAAGCAACCAUAACGCCUUGUUCCUGAAAGCUCUGUAGGCCCAUGUGCACCUGAUGGAAAUAUAAUCAAGUCUACUUUUCAAU